AGCACGAGAGCCGGCGACAAACCCGGACCAGCGGAGGUGGGGAGUUAUCCUCCGGCUUACCGAACGCACCAGCACCGCGGAAACGUCGAAACGAGGGGACUUCUCGUUCCUCUUCUGACGACUCAUCACAGACCGAUCUUUCGGCUUUCAAGACUGCCCCUGGUGGAAAGUCAAAGCCUAGUAAGAAGCCCAAGGUGGUUAAGCCAGAUGAAGACCCCAAAGUUCCUGAACUGGAGUAGCAGAAUCCGUUGUCUGAGGCUUCUGUGCAACACCCAGACGAACCUGUCAAUGAUCUGCCACCAGAAACUCCUGAACUCUUAACCGAUCAUAUAACUGUCGAACCUUUGAACACUGAGCCGACAAAUCCAUUUAAACCGCCAGAAACACAUGUUGAUGAUGUUGUGAUUACCGGCACCGGCUUCCAAGAGCCGGGAAAACCUACUGUCUUGGCCAAGCACUCCGCCAAAGAGGAACUUAUUGAAAGGCGAAAUGUGAGAUUUGACAUCGCCAACUAUUCUCAAUUGAGCAUCAGUGAAGUACUAUCUGGUUAUCUUAACCAAGUGCGUACCAGCCGCGACCUUGAAGUUGACAUGGUGAAGCAGAUGCAUA